UCCCUGGUGGUCCAGUGGUAAGGAGUCUGCCUUCCCAAUGCAGGGGAUGUUGGUUCGAUCCCUGGUCAGGGAA
rnacentral:tRNA from 1 species